rnacentral:rRNA from 1 species
UACGUAGGGUGCGAGCGUUGUCCGGAAUUAUUGGGCGUAAAGAGCUCGUAGGCGGUGUGUCGCGUCGGCCGUGAAAACCUGCAGCUUAACUGUGGGCUUGCGGUCGAUACGGGCAUCACUGGAGUUCGGCAGGGGAGACUGGAAUUCCUGGUGUAGCGGUGAAAUGCGCAGAUAUCAGGAGGAACACCGGUGGCGAAGGCGGGUCUCUGGGCCGGAUACUGACGCUGAGGAGCGAAAGCGUGGGGAGCAAACAGG